GACGUACUCCCUCCGUCCGGAAAUACUUGUCAUUAAAAUAAAUAAAAAAUGAUGUAUCUAGAUAUAUAUUAAUUCUAGAUGCAUCUCUUUUUAUCCAUUUUGAUGACAAGUAUUUUCGGACGGAGGGAGUAUUAU
rfam:Triticum aestivum genome assembly, contig: Triticum_aestivum_CS42_TGACv1_scaffold_515790_6BS